GUUAUAAUAAAUAAUUCUUCUUACAGGGCCAUACAACUUUCAUUGGGCAUUUAAAUAAGCAGAGUAUGCUCCUGGACAACUGGAAGGACACCAUUGAAGGCACUGGUUAUUUUACCAAGGCUUUGACUGGAAUGGCAUGGUUUCAGUUAUAAACAGACUGCUUUAAGGAAUCAAAGUUGACUUACAGAGCUGAUAAAAGGCCCCUAAGAAAAACUGGCCUCACCUCUUGUCUAUAUAGUCCCUAUAUAGGUUUCCUGACCUGUGGUAAGUAAAGAAUG
rnacentral:lncRNA from 10 species